UUAGAGUUUGAUCCUGGCUCAGGAUGAACGCUAGCGGCAGGCCUAAUACAUGCAAGUCGGACGGUAAGCGGCCCUUCGGGGCCGCGAGAGUGGCGGACGGGUGCGUAACGCGUAUGCAACCAACCCCUGUCGGCCGGAUAGCCGGUGGAAACGCCGGAUAAUACGGCAUGAACCCUAGUUGGGGCAUCCCAAGUAGGGCAAAGCGGCGACGCGGACGGGGACGGGCAUGCGUGCCAUUAGCUGGUUGGCGGGGCGACGGCCCACCAAGGCUACGAUGGCUAGGGGAUCUGAGAGGACGGACCCCCACACUGGUACUGAGACACGGACCAGACUCCUGCGGGAGGCAGCAGUAAGGGAUAUUGGUCAAUGGGGGAAACCCUGAACCAGCCAUGCCGCGUGAGGGAAUGAGGCCCUACGGGUCGUGAACCUCUUUUACUCGGGGACAAGGCGUCGCACGUGAUGCGGCGUUGAGGGUACCGAGGGAAUAAGCGUCGGCUAACUCCGUGCCAGCAGCCGCGGUAAUACGGAGGACGCGAGCGUUAUCCGGAUUCAUUGGGUUUAAAGGGUGCGCAGGCGGCCUGCCAAGUCAGCGGUGAAAGCCCGGGGCCCAACCCCGGAAGUGCCGUUGAUACUGGUGGGCUGGAAUGCGGUCGAGGCGGGCGGAACGUGGCGUGUAGCGGUGAAAUGCGUAGAUAUGCCACAGAACGCCGAUAGCGGAGGCAGCUCGCCAGGCCUGCAUUGACGCUCGGGCACGAAAGCGUGGGGAUCGAACAGGAUUAGAUACCCUGGUAGUCCACGCCGUAAACGAUGGGCGCUCGUCGUCGGCGACAGAAUGUCGGCGGCCAAGCGAAAGCGAUAAGCGCCCCACCUGGGGAGUACGGUCGCAAGGUUGAAACUCAAAGGAAUUGACGGGGGCCCGCACAAGCGGAGGAACAUGUGGUUUAAUUCGAUGAUACGCGAGGAACCUUACCCGGGCUCGAACGGCACCUGGAUCACCCAGAGACGGGUGAGUCUUCGGACAGGUGUCGAGGUGCUGCAUGGUUGUCGUCAGCUCGUGCCGUGAGGUGUCGGCUCAAGUGCCAUAACGAGCGCAACCCUUGCCGCCAGUUGCCAUCAGGUGAUGCUGGGCACUCUGGCGGGACUGCCACCGCAAGGUGUGAGGAGGGGGGGGAUGACGUCAAAUCAGCACGGCCCUUACGUCCGGGGCGACACACGUGUUACAAUGGCGGCCACAGAGGGAAGCUACCCCGCGAGGGGAUGCGGAUCUCGAAAAGCCGUCCCAGUUCGGACUGGAGUCUGCAACCCGACUCCACGAAGUUGGAUUCGCUAGUAAUCGCGCAUCAGCCAUGGCGCGGUGAAUACGAUCCCGGGCCUUGUACACACCGCCCGUCA
rnacentral:rRNA from 1 species